rnacentral:tRNA from 1 species
GGAAAGAUAAGCUAAAUAAAGCUACUGGGUCCAUACCCCAUUUAUAGGUUAAUCUUCUUUCCA